UACGUAGGGUGCGAGCGUUGCCCGGAUUUAUUGGGCGUAAAGGGCGCGUAGGCGGCUACGCACGUCCGUUGUGAAAUCGCUCGGCUCAACUGGGCGGGGUCAGCGGAUACGGCGUAGCUGGAGCAAGCUAGGGGGCAAUGGAAUUCCCGGUGUAGUGGUGGAAUGCGUAGAUAUCGGGGAGGAACACCAGUGGCGAAGGCGGUUGCCUGGAGCUUUGCUGACGCUG
rnacentral:rRNA from 1 species